rnacentral:rRNA from 1 species
UACGUAGGCAGCAAGCGUUGUUCGGAGUUACUGGGCGUAAAGGGUGCGUAGGCGGUUGUUUAAGUUUGGUGUGAAAUCUCCCGGCUUAACUGGGAGGGUGCGCCGAAUACUGAAUGACUAGAGUGCGGGAGAGGAGAGUGGAAUUCCUGGUGUAGCGGUGAAAUGCGUAGAUAUCAGGAGGAACACCGGUGGUGUAGACGGCUCUCUGGACCGUAACUGACGCUGAGGCACGAAAGCGUGGGUAGCAAACAGG